rfam:Staphylococcus sp. HMSC078E07 Staphylococcus_spHMPREF2905-1.0_Cont149.2, whole genome shotgun sequence.
CUCUUAUUUUGAGAAGUAGAGGGAAUUGGCCCUAUGAAGCUUCAGCAACCGACAAAUCAUUGUACGGUGCUACAACCAACGAGAUACUCGAAUGAUAAGUA